rnacentral:rRNA from 1 species
AAUGAACGUUGGCGGCGUGGAUUAGGCAUGCAAGUCGAGCGAGAAGCUUUUAAAAGAUACUUCGGUUGAUUUUAAAAGUGGAAAGCGGCGAAAGGGAGAGUAACGAGUAGAUACGUACCCAGGGGUUCGGGAUAGCUGCGGGAAACUGCAGGUAAUACCGAAUAAUGUCUCCGGACCAAAAUUUAUUGCCCCCGGAUCGGUCUGCUUACUAUUAGCUUGUUGGUGGGGUAAAGGCCUACCAAGGCGAAGAUGGUUAGCGGGUGUGAGAGCAUGGCCCGUCUCACUGGGACUGAGACACUGCCCAGACACCUACGGGUGGCUGCAGUCGAGAAUCUUCGGCAAUGGACGAAAGUCUGACCGAGCGAUGCCGCGUGCGGGAUGAAGGCCCUCGGGUUGUAAACCGCUGUCAGUUGGGAGGAAAUCUAUAGGGGCACUCCCCUAUAGUUGACCUAUCUUCAGAGGAAGGACGGGCUAAGUUCGUG